rnacentral:rRNA from 1 species
UCCCUAUCUGCCGUGGGCGUUGGAUGUUUGAGAAGGGCUGCUCCUAGUACGAGAGGACCGGAGUGGACGCACCUCUGGUGUUCCGGUUGUCACGCCAGUGGCAUUGCCGGGUAGCUAUGUGCGGACGGGAUAACCGCUGAAAGCAUCUAAGCGGGAAGCCCCCUUCAAGAUGAGACAUCCCUGAGGCCGAGAGCCUCCUGAAGGGCCCAGCGAGACCAGCUGGUUGAUAGGCACGGUGUGGACGCGCUGCAAGGCGUUGAGCUAACGUGUACUAAUGGCCCGUGAGGCUUGACCCUA